rnacentral:rRNA from 1 species
CCUACGGGCGGCUGCAGUGGGGAAUAUUGCACAAUGGGCGCAAGCCUGAUGCAGCCAUGCCGCGUGUGUGAAGAAGGCCUUCGGGUUGUAAAGCACUUUCAGCGGGGAGGAAGGCGGCGAGGUUAAUAACCUCAUCGAUUGACGUUACCCGCAGAAGAAGCACCGGCUAACUCCGUGCCAGCAGCCGCGGUAAUACGGAGGGUGCAAGCGUUAAUCGGAAUUACUGGGCGUAAAGCGCACGCAGGCGGUCUGUCAAGUCGGAUGUGAAAUCCCCGGGCUCAACCUGGGAACUGCAUUCGAAACUGGCAGGCUAGAGUCUUGUAGAGGGGGGUAGAAUUCCAGGUGUAGCGGUGAAAUGCGUAGAGAUCUGGAGGAAUACCGGUGGCGAAGGCGGCCCCCUGGACAAAGACUGACGCUCAGGUGCGAAAGCGUGGGGAGCAAACAGGAUUAGAUACCCUUGUAGUC